GACGAACGCUGGCGGCGUGCUUAACACAUGCAAGUCGAACGGAAAGGCCCUGCUUUUGUGGGGUGCUCGAGUGGCGAACGGGUGAGUAACACGUGAGUAACCUGUCCUUGACUUUGGGAUAACUUCAGGAAACUGGGGCUAAUCCCGGAUAGGAGCUCUUGCUGCAUGGUGGGGGUUGGAAAGUUUCGGCGGUUGGGGAUGGACUCGCGGCUUAUCAGCUUGUUGGUGGGGUAGUGGAUUACCAAGGCUUUGACGGGUAGCCGGCCUGAGAGGGUGACCGGCCACAUUGGGACUGAGAUACGGCCCAGACUCCUACGGGAGGCAGCAGUGGGGAAUAGUGCACAAUGGGCGGAAGCCUGAUGCAGCAACGCCGCGUGCGGGAUGACGGCCUUCGGGUUGUAAACCGCUUUCGCCUGUGACGAAGCGUGAGUGACGGUAAUGGGUAAAGAAGCACCGGCUAACUACGUG
rnacentral:rRNA from 1 species